GUUUGCGUGUGUAAAAAGCGUAACUAUAACAUAUUAUUUUGAACAAAACUCAUAUUUUAUAACAGAUAAAAACUAGAAUCAAAAAC